ensembl:snoRNA LOC120102663 small nucleolar RNA SNORA17
CCUGCCCAUAGAGGCAUUGCAGGUGUGACUGAUGUGUCAAAAGUGGAUCAGUAGGUGGCAGAGAGGAGAUAGGCUAUGUCUAUACUCUGUGUUCUAACCUGUGAAUAUAUGAACUAUUAGUAACCUAUCAUU